GUGGAUUAGAUACCCUGGUAGUCCACGCCCUAAACGAUGUCAACUAGUUGUCGGGUCUUCAUUGACUUGGUAACGUAGCUAACGCGUGAAGUUGACCGCCUGGGGAGUACGGUCGCAAGAUUAAAACUCAAAGGAAUUGACGGGGACCCGCACAAGCGGUGGAUGAUGUGGAUUAAUUCGAUGCAACGCGAAAAACCUUACCUACCCUUGACAUGUACGGAAUCCUGCUGAGAGGUGGGAGUGCCCGAAAGGGAGCCGUAACACAGGUGCUGCAUGUUUGUCGUCAACU
rnacentral:rRNA from 1 species